AGUGAACGCUGGCGGUAGGCCUAACACAUGCAAGUCGAACGGCAGCACAGUAAGAGCUUGCUCUUACGGGUGGCGAGUGGCGGACGGGUGAGGAAUACAUCGGAAUCUACUUUUUCGUGGGGGAUAACGUAGGGAAACUUACGCUAAUACCGCAUACGACCUACGGGUGAAAGCAGGGGAUCUUCGGACCUUGCGCGAUUGAAUGAGCCGAUGUCGGAUUAGCUAGUUGGCGGGGUAAAGGCCCACCAAGGCGACGAUCCGUAGCUGGUCUGAGAGGAUGAUCAGCCACACUGGAACUGAGACACGGUCCAGACUCCAACGGGAGGCAGCAGUGGGAAUAUUGGACAAUGGGCGCAAGCCUGAUCCAGCCAUACCGCGUGGGUGAAGAAGGCCUUCGGGUUGUAAAGCCCUUUUGUUGGGAAAGAAAAGCAGCAGGUUAAUACCCCGCUGUUCUGACGGUACCCAAAGAAUAAGCACCGGCUAACUUCGUG
rnacentral:rRNA from 1 species